UCUGUAGGCGGCGGGGUAAGUCAGAUGUGAAAUCCCGGGGCUCAACCCCGGAACUGCAUCCGAUACUGCCUUGCUUGAGUAUUGGAGGGGAGUCUGGAAUUCUCGGUGUAGCAGUGAAAUGCGUAGAUAUCGAGAGGAACACUAGUGGCGAAGGCGAGACUCUGGACAAUUACUGACGCUGAGAGACGAAGGUCAGGGGAGCGAAAA
rnacentral:rRNA from 1 species